GCCAUCCUGGGCGUGUGUGUGUGUGUGUGUGUGUGUGUGUCUAAGCACACUUUUCAAAUCCAGACAACAGGCUUAAUUCUGUAUAGAUAUUUCCUCUUUAAAAGGAAAAAAGACAGCUUUAGUACAUCUUUUGUUAAUUCAGUAGUAUGCGCUAU